rnacentral:lncRNA from 1 species
AGGAUCCAAAACUUGUCUGCAGCCACAAGCCGAUAUCAGCCUACUGUCUUGGCUUUAAGACUUAUUGGUAUUUUGACCAGAACAAGAACAACUGCUAUCACUUCAAGGACUGGUGGUGUGGAAAAAAUGCAAACGGAUUUAUAUCUUACAGGGUCUGCAUGGAGAGGUGCAGCUAUACACGAGUACCAUGGAAAUGUCAACAAUGCAAAGAAAAAGCGCCGCAGCCACCGGACCAGAAGAAACAAGAAGUAAAAGGGCGCAAAUAAAAGCAACCUGUU